rnacentral:tRNA from 1 species
UUCUUCUUAGCUCAAUUGGUAGAGCACGUCACUCAGAUAGCGCAAGUUUGGAAAAUUGCUAUCUUAUGAUGACUGGUCGGUGGGUCGAACCAACUAGAAGGAA